GGAGGAAGGUGGGGACGACGUCAAGUCAUCAUGGCCUUUAUGCCCAGGGCUUCACACGUGCUACAAUGGCGGCAACAGAGCGACGCGAUACCGUGAGGUGGAGCAAAUCGCAAAAAUGUCGCCCCAGUUCGGAUUGUAGGCUGGCAACUCGCCUACAUGAAGUCGGAAUCGCUAGUAAUCGCGUAUCAGCAAUGACGCGGUGAAUGUGUUCCUGAGCCUUGUACACACCGCCCGUCAAGUGAUGGGAGUUGGGAGUACCCGAAGUCAGUUUGCUAACCCAGCUUGCUGGGGUGCGGCUGCCGACGGUAAGCCUGAUGACUGGCACUAAGUCGUAACAAGGUAGCCGUAGGGGAACCUGCGGCUGGAUCACCUCCUUUCUAGGGA
rnacentral:rRNA from 1 species